GCGCCGCGCUCAGAUGGAUAGAGCACCACCUCCAGAACGUGGAGGUCCCGCGUCCGAAUCGCGGCGGGUGCGCCA
rnacentral:tRNA from 1 species